rnacentral:tRNA from 1 species
AUUAUAGCUCAGUUGGUAGAGCAAUUGAUUCGUAAUCAAUAGGUCGGGAGUUCAAUUCUCCCUAA